CCUGUUUAUGCACAUUGUGACAUUGAUAUCUAUGAGGCCUGGAUCGUUGUAUAUUUAUUAAAAAGUACACUAGUGGCUUUAUUCUAUCAUUUUGAAGUUCCCUGAGCUCUGCAUGUCAUACAGAUAAAUACUGGAAGCAUUAGUUUCUUUAUUCUGCUGUCAAGGAUGCUGCUGCUUACAGCUCCUCUCCCCAAGUUCAUUUGGUGCGGUUGACAUUCCCCUGCAGCGUUUGGCUUCCAUCACCCUUGAUAAUGUUGAAAGAGAGCUGAGACCAGUCAUCGGUGUUGACACAGAAGCUGCAAACAUCACCCGCAAUCUUGAAGCUGUUCAAGCUGUGCUUGAGGAUGUUGAGAGCAGACAACUGAAGGAGGACACUGUGAGGCUUUGGCUGAAUGAUCUUACACACCUUUGCUAUGAGAUGGAUGUGUAAGAUGAGAACACUGAAGUUCAAAAAGACGAAUGGAGAAACAAGAAAAUGGAGGUGAAGAUGGCAUUGUUGCCAAGAAGGUAUGUUUCUCCAUUCCUUCCUCUUGCUUCUCUUUUGGCCAAGUCAAUCGAGUAGUUCAUCGCCGUAUGGAUAUUGCUGUCAGGAUAAAAGAACUAAAUGAGGAGUUCAUUUUGAUUGCUAGUCAAAAACAAAAUUAUAGCUUUCAAAACCUGAAAAGAGACUUGGAACAACUUGAACCAAAACUUUCUUCCCCUGUUGAUAUAGUAUUUGGUCGAGAUUACGAAAAGAAUAUUUUACUACAUAAGUUGUUGACUGCAAUUGUCAUGAACUUAGGGUCCCCUUAUGAUCCCUAUGAUAGGGAUGUGAGGAAUUGGAAAGACAACUCUUUCCAAACUAGUCUAUAAUGAUGAAAAGGUCAAGGCUCAUUUUGACAAGAGAGUACGGGUCUCUGUCUCAGACCCUCUUGGUGAGAUCAAAGUUGCCAAAGCCAUCAUUGAAGGUCUUGGUAGUACUAGUACCCCAAAUUCAACUGAGUUGCAAACUCUUCUACAAUGCAUACAUCAAUUGUUUGAGGAAAAGAAAUUCCUCCUUGUUUUAGAUCAUGUGUGGAAUCCAAAUCUUACUGGGUGGAAACAAUUAAGCAGAUCUUUAUUUAACGGAGAUAUAGGCAGUAUAAUAUUGGUGACAUCACAAAAUGAGGAGGUUGCUAUCAUGAUGGGAGCAGUCGAUCCCAUGAUCCAUUUGAAGGAGUUUAAGUGAAGAAAAUUGUCAGUCAUUGUUCUAUCACAUUGCAUUCACUGAUAGGGAAAGAAACGAGUCUGGAAUGUUUGAAGUUGUUGCUAAUUAUAUUGUCAAAUUAUGCAAAGGUUUCCCACUUGCUGCAAAGACUCUAGGUAGCCUAAUGCGCAAUAAGAAAACAUCACUUCUUUUUCUCUCUUUUUUUAUAGGAAGGUUAUUUUGUAUUUGGCAGAGGUCUUGAAGAGAUUGCUUGUGGCUUGUUGCCCUGUUCCCAGGACAUCACUAUUCUGGCAUCAUAAGUAUGAAGCAUUGUGUCUAUGUUUUGGUGAUCCAGUUUUUUUUAUCUCACAUAUAUCAGUAGCCAUCCUAAAUCCAGAACUGUGAUAGUUUAGCAUAAAAGCUUUUGGAGGAGAAGGGUCAGGCAAUGAUAAUAUCAUCAAGGAAACUUUUUCCACCAGCCAUUGACUGGUUGAUGUGGCUCUUCCCUGAACUCAGGGUUAGAGUUUAGUCAAGAAGCCGAUAUCAGUUCAACUAUCUUGACUUCAUUUCUGUGAAGCUCUGUGAGGGUUGACCAUGAACUGUCAUAUGACGAAGUUGGUUGAUUAUUUCCUUGGUUUUACAUGUACAGGAAGGUUAUUUUGUAUUUGGCAAAGUUCUUGAAGAGAUUGCUUGUGGCUUGUUGCCCUGUUCCCAGGGCAUCAUUAUUCUAGCAUCAUAACAUUUUGCUGCAUUUGGUUACUUACCAGUGAACCAAUGGAUUACGAGUGCAAAGGGUCUUCACAAACAUUUCACAAGCUGUUCUUCCUUUGGUUUACUUUGCUAUCUGUGCUGGAUCUUCUAUCACUCUUAUAGCCCCUCAAGGUCAUUUGGCAAUGGUGCGGCAAAGCGGGCAAACACCCCUAUGUCAAUUAGUCAAUUACAGCAGACAAAAGAUCAGUUGAUCAGGAGGGAGACUAAAAGAGGAAAGCAAAGCCUGUAACAUCUGCAUAUUCCUUAAAAAGUUCUCUGUGGUAUGCCUCCGGCAAUGCUUCUGAGACGGCGGUGAAUCUGAACUGAGGAGACGAAGUUUGUCAAUGUUGGGCGAGCCCUCUGUGUGAUUUAGUGUUCUCUUGAGGCUUCUAUUUUGAGAGAACUCAUGUCCAGCCAUCACUAAGAUAGAGUUGCUGCCUGUGUCUUGUGUCAUUCCUGUGGAUUGUAGCUUCUUUUGUGUCAAUGUGAAGUCAAACCCACAAGCUUUGGUUCCUCCUAUGGAGCAUUAUUUAUGUAUUGAAUUGGAUGUUAUUUAGGUUCCUUAGAUUCUCGUGGUCUGUAUUUCAAUUAUGUAGUGAUUUGGAUGAAGAACAUCCUAAAUAGGCUUGCUUGACCCACUUGUCCAUGCUGAUAUCUUCUGAAUAACUUGAUAAAGCUCGAGGUAUUUCAU